AAACCGUUCAGGGGUAAACCUGAGAAACCCGAAAGAUCGAAUGGGGAGAUUCAUCGUCAGUGGCGCUGGCUUCCCGGCGGCUCGCGAUGCCAGGGCGGACCCAACGCGGGCCUCGCCGGGGCACGCGGUCGCCGUUGGCCAUGUCCAGCGUCGCCGGCGUGCACUUCUCCCCUAGUAGGACGUCGCGACCCGCCGGACGUCGGAUUACGGCCCGAGCGGUAGACUGCACCGUGGCGUCCUUGCCGGCGCCACGGGGCAGACCCUCGGUCGCCCGUCCGACCGUCUCGGCGGUACUCGAGCCAAGGUAUCGGGCCGCACGAACGCGUGCGUCCAGGCGCGUCGCAAGCGCGGCCAGUCGCAUACCCGGAGGCGCGGACCAAGCGCCGUCCCCGGGCCUGGCCAGCUGUUGGCCGACGCUGUCCUCGGACCGGCUCUGACGAACGAAAGGAUACCGGUCGGCGACGCUACUGCUUUGGGUACUUUCAGGA
rnacentral:rRNA from 1 species